UAGGAGUGUGGCUCAGUGGUAGAGCAUGUGCUUAGUAUGCAUAAGGUCCUAGGUUUGAUCCCUAGCACUAUAA